UAGAGGAUAGAGGUAGAGAGU
rnacentral:miRNA from 1 species